AGUGAACGCUGGCGGUGGGCCUAACACAUGCAAGUCGAACGGAAGCACGGUAAGAGCUUGCUCUUAAGGGUGGCGAGUGGCGGACGGGUGAGGAAUACAUCGGCAACUACUUUUUCGUGGGGGAUAACGGAGGGCAACUUACGCUACUACCUCAUAUGACCUACCGGUGGAAUCAAGGGUGAUUCGGACCUUGCCUGACUGAUAUAGACGAUGUCGGAUUAGCUAGUUGGCGGGGUAAAGGCCCACCAAGGCGACGAUACGUAGCAGGUCUGAGAGGAUGAUCAGCCACACUGGAACUGAGACACGGUCCAGACUCCUACGGGAGGCAGCAGUGGGGAAUAUUGGGCAAUGGGCGCAAGCCUGAUCCAGCCAUACCGCGUGGGUGAAGAAGGCCUUCGGGUUGUAAAGCCCUUUUGUUGGGAAAGAAAAGCUGCAGGUUAAUAUCCCGCUGUUCUGACGGUACCCAAAGAAUAAGCACCGGCUAACUUCGUG
rnacentral:rRNA from 1 species